rnacentral:lncRNA from 1 species
AUGAGCCACUUAACCGACCCUCCCGCGUGGAUCAAUUCGCGUCGCUGCCUCAAGCCAGUAUCAUCAAAGAAACUUUGUGAAUACUACAAGAAAGAAAAACCGAGACCUUCGACUUCAAAGUCUACUGUCAAUCACAUGCAUCAGCAUGCAUCUGAUACACUUACCAUGGAUGUUGGCACACCUUUUGGCUGUCGCCUAAACAUGAGGUUACUUCUGUAGGAAAAAGGAUACCUGGUUCAGGAAAACAAUUUAGAUGAAGUUGAGCAGCCUUCUUAAGCAGCUGCUCGGAGAGAGUACCACACCUAUAGUAAUAAGUGGCUGUAUCUAAGCAAAUUCCAGGUUUAUUAACAAUGCAGAGAAAAAAAAAAAAAAAGAAACGAAAAAAAAAGUCUGCCCUACUAUAAAUGUGAACAUCCAUAUAUUUAGUUUUACCAGUGGUCCAACUAGACCAAUCUCAUAGCACACAGCAUGUAUUUCCUUCCCAUAAGGCUAGGUCAGCAGUGGAUGCCUAGAAAACCAGGCCUCCCAGUGCAAUCAGGACAAUGUGACAGAAGAGUACACAAAGAUUGUUUGCACUGAGUGGCUUGAUGCUAUAUAGAUAAGCCACAUAUUGAAAAGAUGUUUGAAUAUUACUCUAUCUGCCUCAAUCCUACCACUUAGCUGCUCUUUCAAAAGUCAACUCCCUCACCUCUAGCAACAAAGGACCUUCCCUUUGCCCAAGCUGGCAGAAAUGUUAGGAGCUUGUCUUUGCUGAACGUUGUUCAAUGCAUAUUUCAUAGACACAUCUGAGAAAGGGAUGAUCAGCAGUGAUGCAGUGUUCUAGACUAAGUCAAACAUAUAACAAGUUUUGGCAACUGUUGUCUUGUUCAAGUGAUGACUGUUAAGUACUUCAGGGAAUGUAAAAGUCCAGUGUGAAAGAGGAACUGAUGGAAAUGGCUGAUGUAUCUGAAAAUUCUGCUCACACAUUGCUGGCACUGGAGAUUCACUGCCUACGAGGCCCGAAACAGCCAUGGUGGUCACUAAGUCUGAACUAGUGGGAUAGUACAAUGUAUGAAGUAUUAUUUUAGAAGUAUUCAACUUUAUUUUUGUCUUCCUACUUUAACUUUCUUCCUACUACAUCUGCUUCUGACUUCGUUCAGAGAAUAUGCAUACAUGUUUAGUGCUCAAUCCCUAGCUAAGCUAUAAGGUGGUUCUCUUACAUUUGAGGGGAAGCAUUGCU